UACAAAAGGAUACAGCUUGCGCAGGAAGGACAGACUGAAAGCUGUUUGAGGCAGGGAUCCACCACUCUACAGUACUCUGGACAUUUGCAGCAUGAUGUAAAUUAUUUACAUUUGUCUUGCUUCCAUAAUCUGGACCGAUAUCUUCACAGAGUCAGCUUCCAUCACCAGCUUGAGUGACCUCAGUGCCUCAUGAGUUUGGUGAAGAGGUGGGGAAUGAUUGCCUUCCGUAUGCUAUUUAUCUAAUCAGGACUCUGUAAAAAUCCUUGUGUGACUGUGAAGACGGCUAUCAAG